rnacentral:RNase_P_RNA from 1 species
GAGAGAGGGAGGGUGGCUGCCGGUCCCUCAGAUAUUGAUGAAGAGGGGCUGAGGAAAGUCCCCCCACCGCAUGAACACGGGUGCCGAAAGGCACAGGGUGAGAGCCCUGGCUCUGGCGCAGAAACGAUACCGGACCAUGCGUGCACGGUGAUUCCGAAAGGAUGAGGUUGCAUGGCUCCGGAUGGAACGACCAUCCCCGUGGGUGCAAGCCAUUUGUGGCGCAUAGAUAAAUGCCACCUGAAACAGAAGGGGGCUUACUACCCUCACUC